CCUACGGGUGGCAGCAGUGGGGAAUAUUGGGCAAUGGGCGCAAGCCUGACCCAGCAACGCCGCGUGAAGGAAGAAUGCUUUCGGGUUGUAAACUUCUUUUCUCAGGGACGAAGAAAGUGACGGUGCCUGAGGAAUAAGCCACGGCUAACUACGUGCCAGCAGCCGCGGUAAUACGUAGGUGGCAAGCGUUAUCCGGAUUUAUUGGGUGUAAAGGGUGUGUAGGCGUGAGUGCAAGUCAGAUGUGAAAACUCAGGGCUUAAACCUCAGCCUGCCUUUGAAACUGUGGUUCUUGAGUGCUGGAGAGGUAAUCGGAAUUCGGGGUGUAGCGGUGAAAUGCGUAGAUAUACGGAGGAACACCAGUGGCGAAGGCGGAUUGCUGGACAGUAACUGACGCUGAGGCGCGAAAGCGUGGGGAGCAAACAGGAUUAGAUACCCUGGUAGUC
rnacentral:rRNA from 1 species